UACGUAGGGUGCAAGCGUUAAUCGGAAUUACUGGGCGUAAAGCGUGCGCAGGCGGUUAUGCAAGACAGAGGUGAAAUCCCCGGGCUCAACCUGGGAACUGCCUUUGUGACUGCAUAGCUAGAGUACGGCAGAGGGGGAUGGAAUUCCGCGUGUAGCAGUGAAAUGCGUAGAUAUGCGGAGGAACACCGAUGGCGAAGGCAAUCCCCUGGGCAUGUACUGACGCUCAUGCACGAAAGCGUGGGGAGCAAACAGG
rnacentral:rRNA from 1 species